GGUCCCUAUGAUGAACUUGACAAGUAAUUAAAAGUAGUGGACUGAUGAUACUCGUUGAUGACAACUUUGUUCUGAGGGAUU